rnacentral:rRNA from 1 species
UACGUAGGGUGCAAGCGUUAAUCGGAAUUACUGGGCGUAAAGCGUGCGCAGGCGGUUUUGUAAGACAGGCGUGAAAUCCCCGGGCUCAACCUGGGAAUUGCGCUUGUGACUGCAAAGCUGGAGUGCGGCAGAGGGGGAUGGAAUUCCGCGUGUAGCAGUGAAAUGCGUAGAUAUCGUGAGGAACACCAAUGGCGAAGGCAGCCUCCUGGACAGUUACUGACGCUCAGGCACGAAAGCGUGGGGAGCAAAAGGGAUUAGAUACCCCAGUAGU